rnacentral:tRNA from 1 species
UUUAAGAACAAUACAUUAAAAAAAAUCAAAAUGCAAUUAAAGCCAGCAGUUAAGCUAAAAUGACAGGUUAAAACCUAUGCCAGUUUUUGUCUGAGUGCAGGCUUGUCUAAACAAAAAAAGAUUUUAGCAGGCUCGGAAAACAUUUUGUACAGUGAAAGCCAAGAUGAUCUAUAUAGCCCAAAUGUCAAGUGGCGGCGAGGUCCAGAGGGUAAGUGUCACCGCGCUAAAAUAUUUCUUCCUUACAAGUGUAAAACAAAUACUAUGUGGCCCUUUUAAUAGUGCCAGUUCUGCAAAAUCAAAGUGGUCAAUGAGGCAUAUCUGGUGCAAGGUGCACAGAGCAUUGGCUGGAAUGGACAGAGAGGGAUGGUGGAACAAUAGUUAGGCUAGCUUGAUUGUGUCAGCCGUAGCAUUUUGAAACAGGAAGGAAGGGAUUGUGCAAGGGAAGAGAAAAAUCGGCAACUAGGCCAUGAAAUAGCCUGUCUUUGGCCUCUGCUGGUAGGAAAUCAAAACUAUGCUAAGCGGGGAGAGCUAGUGGAGUGUAGGAACUUAAAGCAGACGUUGCAGAAGUGGCUAGUGUAUGUGUGUUUUGGAAGUGCUGCAUACUCAGUUUGCAUCCUCACUGGGAACCAGAUUUAUUUGAAGCUCGCACCUCUCCCCGUUAUGCUGUACAGUGGUACCUCAGGUUAAGUACUUAAUUUGUUCUUGAGGUCUGUUCUUAACCUGAAACGGUUCUUAACCUGAAGCACCACUUUAGCUAAUGGGGCCUCCUGCUGCUGCCACGCUGCCGGAGCACAAUUUCUGUUCUCAUCCUGAAGCAAAGUUCUUAACCUGAAGCACUAUUUCUGGGUUAGCGGAGUCUGUAACCUGAAGUGUAUGUAACCUGAAGCAUAUGUAACCCGAGGUACCACUGUAUUGUUUUUAACACUCAAUUGGGAGCCGCCUAGAGUGGCCGGGAAAACUCAGCCAGAUGGGGGGUAAUAACAACAACAACAACAACAACAACAACAAUAAUAAUAUUUUGCCUGUGAUAGUGGUGGCUGCAGCUUCUUUGGUCUGGUGGGGCCGAAGGCAGGGGAGCCCAACAGUAGGUGGCGCCAGAGCCAGUUACAGGCAGAGACAGAACCAUGGGAUUUGUAGAAUUGGAAGGGACCACAAGGGUCAAUGUGGGGCUCAAACCCGUGUCCCUGAAAUUAAGUCUCCACAUGCUCUACCAACUGAGCUAUAGAUGGCUCAGUGUCUAGUUUUGCCGCUAUCCCCCCCACUCCCUGCUCAGUUUUACAAGGGGCAACAUGGAGGUCUAGGGAGAGAAGACAAGAGCCUGUGCCACCCCCUGGACUAGAUGUAAGAAGAAAGGGAAGGUGGGGGCUAAGUAAGGGCAGCUCAGGUUGGUGGGGUGCAAGCUUAAAACUGUGUACCUAGGUAGAUAGGCCAGGAUCUACUGCAGUGGAGAUGAGGGCAUAUGGGGCACUGCCCCACCAUUGUCUGCCGUUAGCUAUCCCCUCCCUCCCCCCUCCCGGCUGCCUUCUUUCUUGCAGUCAAUCCAGUGGGUGGUCCUGCCUGGCAGCUUCCUCCUCUGUAGUCUCAGUACUGCCCCAUGCAUAACUCACCAGAGAGGGGGAGGAGGAUGGGGGCAAAACUAGGAUUAUUUGGCUCUGCCUGUCAUUGGCUCUAAGGGAUGCGGGUGGCGCUGUGGGUUAAACCACAGAGCCUAGGACUUGCUGAUCAGAAGGUCAGCAGUUCGAAUCCCCGCCACGGGGUGAGCUCCCGUUGCUCGGUCCCUGCUCCUGUCAACCUAGCAGUUUGAAAGCACAUCAAAGUGCAAGUAGAUAAAUAGGUACCGCUCCGGCGGGAAGGUAGACGGCAUUUCCAUGCACUGCUCUGGUUCGCCAGAAGCGGCUUAGUCAUGCUGGCCACAUGACCUCCACGGAAGCUGUACGCCGGCUCCCUCGGCCAAUAAAGCGAGAUGAGCUCCGCAACCCCCGAGUUGGCCACGACUGGACCUAAUGGUCAGGGGUCCCUUUACCUUUACCUAUCAUUGGCUCUGGUGCCCCCUGCUGUUGGCGUUGCCUUCCACACCACCAGACUCGAUGAGCACCAGCCCAGACUGAUCUCUGGGUCAUGUGCCACAGGUCAGGCAGGGCUUCCACCUCUCAGUUGUUUUAAAAGCACAUUUUACCUUUAUACAUACUCUCUCUCACACACCAUUUCUAUCCUCUCCAUGCAGGAAAGCAAGAAGCAUUAGCAAAUGUUCAAGGACACAUUCCUGCCAAGCUGAUUUGCAGAAGCCAUCCAGGAUUUUCAACUGGAUCCCCCCCCCUCGACUGACCUGAAGAUGCCAGGGACUGAGACUGGGACCUUCUGCAUGCAAAACAGAUGCUCUGCCACUGAGCUACGGGCAUUCCCUGAAGACAUGGAAACAUAGGAACAGCUCUUCCCUGUCGAAGUGAUAUAAUGCUACUUUAAAUGUGAAGCGUAGAAGGGACAUCAGCCAAGGUGUUAUGUCACCAAAGGCAAAAUAAGUUGGCACCUUUGUGAGCUCCUCUCCCAUUCCCUGGCAGUAAAAAUGCACUACUA